CGAGCUUCAGAACUUUCGAGGAAAACCGUUGGCGGUGGUUAGCCAACAUGACAAUCAGCUGCACCUGUGUCUUCCUGGUUAAAAACCGCCUGAUGUUUUCCUCACCCUUGAGUGAACAGUCAGAGGCUGACUGCAGCUGUGUUGUGGAAGUCUGGCUCCAUGUGGUUACAAGCAUCAGCAGUAAAGGCCUGGACCUGAAUGGAGCCCUGGUUCCAGUGUUGGAUGUCAGAUUCAUGAGAGGAACUCUACAUGAACUCUACUUGAACUCUACAUGAAGACCACAUAAGAAGACUCAACAAGAGGACUGGCAUCAACAGACAGGCAGGCAGACUUAAAAAGAGACAGAGACAGGUUAACAGAUAGACAGGAACAUGUUGAGAAGAUCUUAGUACCCAUAAGGCCUUGCACGGCCCAGCAGGCGGGGUUACACGGAGGCAGAGAUGAACCUGACCAACCACAGGCCGUCGCCCGGGGAUACAGGCUCCACCCACCACUGAUCUCCAGGGUGACUUACAGCUGACCCAGUGCCUCACGCGCCGGCAUCUGAACCCUAAUUGGCCGACAGUGCAGGUCGGCAAUGGAACACAUACACAUAAACACACACACAUACACAAAAAUACAUAUACACACACAUUAUAUCAAACACACGUUCUGUAUACACGUAUAAAUCUGGCAUAACAAAGCUUCAGCUGGAGGAAGGAAAUAUGUUUGUGUGUAUUGCUGUGUGUGUGAGUGUGUGUGUGUGUGUGUGUGUGUGUGUGUGUGUGUGUGUGUGUGUGUGUGUGUGUGUGUGUGUGUGCGGGGCAACACAAGCUGUGUACUUAAAUUUUCUUUCCAAAGACAAAAAGACACUUGAAAAUGUGAUGCUCUAAUGUAGUUUUUCUCGUCUUGGUCAUGUAAAAUAUAAAAUGAACGUUUAAAUGUAUUUUUCACCAUUAUUACUGAUGAGGUUAGCACUGAAACUCUCUCUCUCUCUCUCUCUCUCUCUCUCUCUCUCUCUCUCUCUCUCUCUCACACACACACACACACACACACACACACACACACACACACACACACAGACACACAUGCACUUCUGUCAUAGUGAUUCAUUAUCAGGCAGUGCAGGUAAAUCAGGCCUAACUAAUAGCCUGUCUGAAAGACCAUGACUGGUGACUCAAUGCUAAAUACUCUGAUGUGCUGUGUGUGUGUGUGUGUGUGUGCGUGUGCGUGUGCGUGUGUGCGUGCGUGUGCUAUAGGAUUUAUAGUCUAAGUAUUAACACCUAUCAGAAUGUGUAUGUGUUUGUGCAUGUGUGUCUAAUUUUUACUGACUCCAAGCUGUCUUAGUGUGUGACCCUGAAAUGUGACUGCAUGGCUUUUAGUUCAGUGGGUGUGCAUGUACACAUGUGUAUGUGUGUGUGUGUGUGUGUGUGUGUGUGUGUGUGUGUGGUCAUCUGAUUAUAUUUACUGUAUUGUGCGUGUAUGACUACAUAUAUUUGUGUGUAUUAUCCUACAGUGUAGUUGUGUGUGUGUGUGUGUGUGUGUGUGUGUGUGGUCAAAUAUAUAAUAAUAUAUGAAUAGAAUUACUUUUAAAUGAGUGGCUUAACUGUUGGGUGAGGAGAGAAGAGAGGAGAGAAAGGGCACAAAAGAGGAAAGGAGGAGGGAAGAAAGACAAGAAAACAGGAAAGAGAAGAGGAUAGAGGAGAGAAAGAGGAAGAGGAGAAAUGGAUGGAGUGAGGGUAAAGAAGAGGAGUCUGUCAGCAUCAGCAGGUUUUCUAAUUAUCACCUUGACUGUGGAGCUGAAGAGGGGAGGUGAAAAGUGGGUAGAGGAGAGGAGGUGUAAGGAGGUCCAAGAGAGGGAAAAAAUCAAGAGGAGGUAGGUAGAGUAAUCGAAGGUUAUAAGGAGGUGAGAGAUCAAGAACAAGGUAAAGAGGAGGAGGAGGAAGGGUGAGAAGGAGAGAGGUGAAAGUAGAGUUUGAUUGGUUUCAUUUUCACAGCCUGGAGGUCAUCCAGCUUCCCUGUUCCUCUGAACCCUGUCCAAGACACACAACACGCACAUACUUCUCUCUCUCUCCCUCAUCUCACUUGUUUCUUUAAUUUCUGUCUGUAUAUGUGUCUCCUCUGUCAUAUGAUUAGUCUUAUGAAGGUUGGUAAAGUUUUGAUUCAUCACUGUUCACGUAAAUUAAAACUCAACCAGCAGCCAACCAGUGGUGACAGAAGCAGCAUUUUCAUUAAACAUAUGAAUUAAUUUCAUGCAAAUAUUAAAAUGCUGAGAAAAAAAUUAAGUAAAUUAACAUGUUGUACUAACAUUUAUUUAAGUGAAUGAUGAGUCAUAGCUUUGUGUGGGUGGGCUUGAUAAUGAAACGUUGCGUGCUAGUUACACAGUUGUGUCUUGUUUUGCAAAAAUGCAUUUUUGCAUUUGUACUUCUAAAUUGUCUAAC